CGCUACGGUCGCAGGUUCGAAUCCUGUCUCGGGCAUGGAUGUGUGUAAUGUCCUUAGUGCCAAAUUUACACCUGGUGGACAAAAUUGGAAUGAUUUUUUUUUGCCAGCAUAAAUUGGUCCACUUUAAUGCAUAGAAAAUCUGCAAAGUUCCGCUGUCAUAUGAUAGUUGCAGCUACACUGGAUCUCUAUUCUUAUGCCUUUCGUCAAGAGUGAUGAAGAUUAGAACAUAUGCUGUUCCAUCAUGUUCUGCAGAUGCUCUAUAGAGGACACCUCUAAUGACCAUGCUGAUCAAGGACACUGAUGAGCACCCCUUAGGCUAUUGGGAUGCAUGAACACUUCUCACUGUUGUGAGAAUGGCAAUGGAGUUGAAUAGAUGGUGCUCUGGAGCAUAAGCUCCACAUGCAAAGUUUCCUCAGGAAAGAGGGUAGAGUGUAACUACCUGUACUGUGAUGCAGACUCAGGAAUGACUGGUGCCACCUGA